UACGUAGGUGGCAAGCGUUGUCCGGAUUUACUGGGCGUAAAGGGCGUGCAGGCGGUCUGUUAAGUUCAGGGUGAAAGCUCCCGGCUCAAACUGGGAGAGGUCCUUGGAUACUGGCAGACUUGAGGGAGGUAGAGGAGAGUGGAAUUCCCGGUGUAGUGGUGAUAUGCGUAGAUAUCGGGAGGAACACCAGUGGCGAAGGCGGCUCUCUGGGCCUUUCCUGACGCUGAGACGCGAAAGCGUGGGGAGCGAACCGG
rnacentral:rRNA from 1 species